rnacentral:misc_RNA from 1 species
GAUGAAGAACGCAGCGAAAUGCGAUACGUAGUGUGAAUUGCAGAAUUCAGUGAAUCAUCGAAUCUUUGAACGCACAUUGCGCCCUUUGGUAUUCCGAAGGGCAUGCCUGUUCGAGCGUCAUUUCACCACUCAAGCCUGGCUUGGUAUUGGGCGCCGCGGUUUCGUCCGCGCGCCUCAAAGUCUCCGGCUGAGCUGUCCGUCUCCAAGCGUUGUGAUCCAUAUUCGCUUCGGGGCGCGGACGGCCGCGGCCGUUAAAUCUUUCACAAGGUUGACCUCGGAUCAGGUAGGGAUACCCGCUGAACUUAAGCAUAUCAAUAAGCGGAGGA